UCGAAAGUAAAUUUAAAAAGAUUCUAAGAAGAUUUUAAAAAUAUUUGUUAAAACAUUUUAAAUAUAUUCAUUUGUAUUUCAAAUAAAAUGAUAAAGAUAUUAAAAGAUAUAAUAAUGAACUUAUGUAAAAUAUGAUAUUUUCUAGAAAUAGUCCAAACUAAAAAAAUCACACAUCAAAAGAAGUCAUGACUUCUGUUUUAAUAUAUUAGAUGAUGUAAACACCAAAUAAACCAGAGCCAAAGUUGCUAUUUUUCGUCUUUUCUUUGGUAUUUCUCAUUUCUUUCAAUCUUAUUAUUUAACAUGUCAUCUUUUGUAAUGUAAAACUAGAUUUUGACCGGCGCUUGGAAAGCACAUAUAUUUUUUGACAGUUUGAUAAAAUUUGAAUGAAUUUGUAACGUUUUAUUAGAAAUAAAUAUUUUAAAAGUUGUUCUAUUAUAAUGUUUGAGUUUUAAACAGUGUUUUCAUAUCCGAUCUAGACUUAUGGUCAAACCAAUAGAUCUAGUGACCCGUAUAUAGUCUAGUUUGAAUUUAAUGAAACAAAAUAUGGUAAAAUACGGUAAAAAUCAAAAACCCGCUACUAAUCCGCGACCGAUGCUGUUGAUACGAUAUAAAACAUAAAAAAAAAUUAAAACAUUUGAUUAAAUUACUCAAAUAAUUUUUAAUAUUACAUAAAAUUGAGUAGACUAUAAUUCAUUAUACUUCGAUGAGUUUUUCAUUAUGUCAUUCGUAGAAAAUGAAAAAAAUAGUGAUAGGAAGAAAAAAAAACAAAAUCAAUUGAUAUGACACUAUUAGUUUCUUUAUUAAUCACCUAUUAUAAGUUUAUAUUUUUAUUUAUUUUAGAUUUUUAUGAUAAUUUUAAGAUAUUUUUGAAUGCUCAAAAUUUUAAGUUAGUUAUUUUGUGAAAUAUUAAGUUGGUUAGCGGAUCUAUAAGUGAUCAAAUUUGGUAUAACUUGUGGGUAACACAUUUUUUGUACACACUAAUUUGGAAUGAUAAUAUAUAUGAUAUUAUUAAUAAAUUUAUUCUAGUAUAAUUUUUCAAUUGCAGUAUUGGUGAUAAGGUUAUUUUCUAAUUAAAGCUAUACAUAUCAUAAUUUAUCUUCACCAGUUAAUAACAUAGUGUACUUUUAUAUUAUAUUUAAUUGGUAGUAUAAAUAAUCGUGUUUUUAAUUGCAAGAUUGGUUAAAAUAUCAUAGUAUUUACAUAGACCAAAAUAUUGACUUUUUGGAAUUUUGAACAUAUCAGCAUAUUAACAUAUGAGUGUAUGGUUUUGUUUAAUAUUUUUAAAGAUAGUGUAUAUAUGAUACCUUGUUCUCGUAGAUGGAAUAUUUUUAGCAAUCUUAAUACUUUACAUAACCGUUUAGCAAAUGAAAAAGGGUCAAAUAUAAGUUCCAACACUUUGAAUGGAUUUUACGUAACCGUUUAAAAAAUGUGGCGUAAUAAAUUAAAGUAUUGACUAAAUGAUUGUUAAAUAAAUAUAAGGUAACAUCUCCUAUAUAUUAAAAGAGAAGCAUUACAACAUUUGUAGUAACCACAUGUUAUCACUACGAUAAAUUAAUUAUUAAUAUUUUCAAUUCUUUCAUUAAAUAAAAAUUACGAAAUUGUGUAAUAUGAAUAAUAAAAAAUGAUACAAAUUAUGUGUUACAAAAAAAAUAUGAUACAAAUUAGCGUAUUCUCUAACAUUUUUGUUUAACUUUAAGUUAUUAAAAUAAAUUAAACAAUCACAUUAACGAUAUAAUAAAAUUUUAGAUUUUUUUCGUAUAUGUUAUAUUUUGAACUUUUUAAAAAGUCUCGCAUUGAAAUUUUUAUGAUCCAUGAUUUUUUUAAUGAUAAAAUACAAAUUAUUACAAAAUUAUGUAAAUAGGAAGUCUCAUAUAUAUUAAUAUCUUCUAAAUUAAGCUAUAUACCAUAGAAAAUAUCCCCUAUAUAUUAAAAGAAAAGGAUUACAUUUGAGGUAUCAACUUGUCAUCACCAUACUUAUUCUUAUAUUUCUAGAGAAAUAAGUUGGUUCAUCUAAAUAUAUAAUAAGCAUUUUAUUAAACUAACCAUAAAUUAAUUAUUAAUGUUCUCAAUUAUUUCUUUAAAUAAAAAUUACGAAAUUACCUAAUGUGACUAAAUUAUACAAUUAUUGAUUUUGAAUAAUAAAAAUUUGAUACAAAUUAGUGUAUUCUCUAUCAUUUUCUUUAACUUUGAGUUAUUAAAAUAAAUUAAACAAUCACAUUAACCAUAUAAUAAAAAAUUAGAUUUUCCGUAUAUGUUAUAUUUUGAACUUUAAAAAAGUCUCACAUUGAAAUUUUUAUGAUCCAUGAUUUAAUUUUUUUAAUGACAAAAUACAAAAUCAUGUAAGUAGGAAGUCUCAUAUAUAUUAAUAUCUUCUCAAUUAAACUAUAUACCAUAGAAAAUAUCCUCUAUAUAUUAAAAGAAAAGGAUUACAACAUUUGAGAUAGCAACAUGUCAUCACCAUAAUUAUUCUUAGAAUUCUAGAAAAAUAGGUUGGUCCAUCUAAAUAUAUAAUAAGCAUUUUAUUAAACUAACAAUAAAUUAUUUAUUAAUGUUCUCAAUUAUUUCCUUAAAUUAAAAUUACGGAAUAACUUAAUGUGGCUAAAACAUAUAUGACAAUUAAUUAUUUUGAAUAAUAAAGAUUUGAUACAAAUUAAUGUAUUCUCUAUCAUUGUUUAACUUUGAGUUAUUAAAAUAAAUUAAACAAUCACAUUAACCAUAUAAUAAAAUUUUAGAUUUUUCCGUAUAUGUUAUAUUUUGAACUUUUUAAAAAGUCUCACAUUAAAAAAUUUAUGAUCCAUGAUUUUUGUUUAUGACAAAAUACAAAUUAUUACAAAAUCAUGUAAGUAGGAAAUCUCAUAUAUAUUAAUAUCUUUUAAAUUAAACUAUAUACCAUAGAAAAUACAUAAAUAUUUUUAUUUUAGAAUUUUUUUGAACAAUUUUUUGAUAAAAUCUUUGAACAAAUACUGACAACUUAAUAUUUAAAUUUUAAAAUUUGCACUGAAUGUUUAUAAAAGUUAUAAAUUACUAGAACUUUAAAAACAAUGUACAAUGAAAAUUUUGGUAUCAGCGAUUUAGUCAUUCUGUUAAAAAGAUACAAAUGAGUAGAACGCAUCAUUUAACAUAUAUCAAUACUAAAAAUAUAUUAUGUAUCUAUGUAUAUAUAUUUAAAUUUAAUUAUAUCAAUAGAAAAUAGAAAAAGUGAUUGUUUGGAUUAAUAAAAUUUAUUUACGUAUUCACAUCAGUAUAAUUAUAUACGUAAUAGUUAUUGACUUUUUCAUUAUCAAAUAUAUAUAUAUAUAUAUAUAUUAUUUUAUAAUAUCUAUAUAUUAUUUUAUAAUAUAUAAAAUCAUAUAAUAUGUAAAAUAAUUUAUAUAUACAAUGUUCAUCAUGCGCAAGGCGUGGGUCUUAAUCUAGUCAAAGUAUUUUAGUUAAUGAAAUAGUCCAACAAUUUUGUUUAAGUAGAUUUUUGAAAAUGGUUCUCUUUUAAUAGUAUAGACUAGAUUUUGACCCGCGCUUUCAAAGCGCGGGAUUAUUUUCGUAAAUUAUUUUUUGCUUUUCCAUUUAUUUACCCGCUUGUUUGUUUUGAGUUAUAUAUUUAUACUUGGUGUAUUAAUUUUAGGUUCGCUUCUAUUUUUAUCUUUUGAGUUUUCAGUUUGAUUUCGGUUUAUAGUUGUUCGGUUCGAGUGAUAAUUUUUUUUUGAUUAUUUAUGAAUUUGGGCUUGAAUUCGGUUUGGUUAGUUUUGGAUAUUUGUAUACCGAUUCAGUUCUCUAUUUUUUUUUGGCGACAUCCAUCUUCUAAGAUCAAGUGGUAGGCGGGUCUGAGUCGUUUCAAAGAGAUGCUCUGUCCGGCUGGAUCGGAUCUAUAUGGGGAAAAAAAGAGUACCCCUAAGUUCUCUAUUUAUAUGUCGAGGUUUAAAUUUGUUUCUAAAAUAUGUCUUGCAUUUGAUAAAUAACUGAUUUUUAAUAAUUGUUAAGGAUAAAUGUAUAAAUGAAAUAUUAAUUUGUCUAUAAUAAAAUCUAACUAAGUUAAAAUUUUGCUACUUGUAUUUUUCUGUUGGAAGAAAAUGAAAUGCAAUUUAAAAUAAUUGUUGAUAAUUAUACAAAACUUACACUUUAUUACGUAUAAUUUUAAUAAACAAAAGAUGAUUGUAUUUAUUUUAAAACAAUACUUUUGCAAUUUGAAAAUGCUCUUAAUUAAAUUUAUUAUAAGGGAAAAACAUUCUAGAUAUAUUGACCAUUCUGAUAAUUAUUUUAAAAUUGUUUAAAAACUCCUUGGGCCUGAUUAAUACAAAACAAAGAAGUUCCAUUUUUAUGUUUAAAAAUUAAUCGAAUACAACUGGGUUUUACAAACUGAAACUCAAAAUGAGGAUAAUAAAAUGUUAGUGUAAGUUGGGUUUAUAACUUAUGUUGAUAUUUUUCAAUAUCACUCAGGCCCAUGGUUCAUCACUACCAACCGACAGAACAACAACCUGUCUUUUUGCCUUUCCAGAAAAAGCUUCCUCAGAAAAAUGAGUUCGUCCCUCUCUCAAAAUGCUUUGAUAACAUGAUGAAACAUGAUCCAUCAACACAGAUGGUUGAAGAUAAGGUUUGCAUGUCGAAUCCAAUGAAUGAUCUGAUUAGUCGGUUAAUUCUGUUUGUCUCGUAUAUGUCUGAAGAAGAUCUGAAAAAGUAUCCCUCAAGAAAAAACGAAGAACCGGAGUUAAAGGAUCAAGAAACAUCAAUCACUUCAGGUCAAUAGACUUUCAAAUAUUUCUCUUAUUCGUUAUAUAGUUGGUUAAUCGAGUGUAGUUAAACACUAAAAAAUAAAUAUCUAAAGUUUUUUUAACUAUUUUUGGAAUUUGUUUCAUGCACUUUUCUCACAUCUUUCCAAACAAAUUGUUAUAAUAUAUUUCCGUUCAUAUUGAAAUGGUGGUAUAUGAUCUUUGUUUGAUCUUACUCAUUUUGGUUUGAAAAUUUAAUAUAUUUACUCAUGUGCAGGCUGUGCAGUGACAUUUGUAUAGGCAAAGCUUUAUUCAUGUGACUCUAACCAAUAUCACAAAACAACAAACCUGAGAAAAGAUAAGUUUUCAUACAAUGGCAUAAAAAUUUCAACGCUUACAAUAACUAUAAUAGUGUUUCAAAAAAAAACAAUAACUAUAAUAUAUUUAAUAUUUGUAAAAUCCAAAUUUAACUAAUGUUUUUUUGUAAUUUUACAGUCAAAGUCUACACGUUGUAUGAUUGAUGAUGAAAGUUAUGAGGCUAAGUCCAACCAAGUCCAACCAAAUCCAUACCUAUACACAGAAAAAAAAAAUCAAGAUGUAACUGAAACAAUAUAAUUGAGUAGACUAUGCAUUUUUCAGUUUACCUUCUUGUCAACGAAAACGUUUCACCAAAUUUCUAGUUUAUUUGCUCCCAGGUGUGGAUUACUUUCAAUUGGAUGUACCAAUCAGUUCUGUUAGGUUUCAGUUUUGAAAGGAACGGAAUUUUCUUUGUUCUUUGCGUUUCUUUGCGGUUUCGAAAAGAAAAAAGAAAAUUUGUGUGUGGCGAUGAUUGUUUGACAACGGUAGUUAUAUAUAGCCUACAAUAGAUAGGUUUUGAAAGAAUAUUCUGAUUAUUUUUAGGGAUGCUAUUUCAGUUGAAUGAUAAUAAGGUAUAUUAUGUUAAUAAGCUAAGUAAAUAUCGUUAUUUGACAGUAAAUUUGUUAGGAUGGCGGAUAUUUCGGUAGGAGGUUUAAGGGAUUGUUAAUAAUUGGUAUUUGAUGAAUAAAGAAUAUUACUUGGCAUAUACUUCGUUAUUGAUUAUCAAAAUAUUUUUGAAACAGAAUAUAUUUUAUUAGAGUUUAACUAUAUUUCAGAUUGGUGGUUUUAUAUUUUAAGUUUGAAAUUGGAAUAUUUUGCGUGUGAGUUUUUUUUUUGCAAGUAAGAAUCGCGUAUAAUUAGAUAACGUUUUUUUUUUUGCAAGUAAGAAAACAUGAAGCAACUUCCGAAAAUUUAGUUUAUUUGCUUAAAUUUUAGCUUUUUUAUUUAAUGGUAUAGAUAUUUAUGGUUAUUGAUUUGAAAAAAGAUUGGUAUUUAUGAUCUAGUAUAGUGGAUAUGGUUAUGUAUGGAACUUUCGAAAAUCUAGUUUAUUUGCUAAAUUUUUAGCUUUUGAUUUAGUGGUUUGUAUUUUUGGUUAUUGAUUUGAAAAAGCUUUAUAAAUCCAAUAGUAUGGUCGACUAUAUUGCAGAGUGGUUUACGGUUUAGGAUUCUAAUUAUGUGUAUUUAUUAUAUAAAAUUUUAUUGUUUUGAUUAGUUUAUUUGCUUAAAUUUACGUUUUUAUUUAAUGGUAUAGAUAUUAUGGUGAUUGAUUUGAAAAAAGAUUGGUAUCAUGACAUUGCUUAUUUUAAUAAAUUAAAAUAUAAAAAAGUAUUUGGGGUUUAUGGGUUUGUUUGUAUCUCAUACUAUACAUAUAAAAAUGCUAGCUUAAAAAUAUAUAAUACGACCAUUUUUUAUAGAUUUUGAAUAAUGCAACAUUUAUGUUUUUUGUGCAAUUGUUUGUAACCAAAACAUUGAUUGGACGUGAUAAAUGGUCGAUGAUACACUGAUAUUAACAGAAUGUAUUGUUUUUAUUUGGCAGCUUGCAGAAUUCACUUCGGUGUCGAUAGAUUUGGUACAUAGACUGUUUAAGAAAUAAAAAUAAGUGUGUUGUAGCCAGUGUUUUGAAACCCGACCCGGACCCGCGGUUGAACCGGUAAAUCCGGUAACCCAAAAAAAUCCGGUUUGGAUUUUGUGAAAAACCUAAUAUUUAGAAACCCGCAAAAAACCGCAAAAACCCGGUAAAACACGGAAUCCGGUACCGGUUGAACCAUCGGUCGAACCAAUAAAUAACUUUUAUUUCCUUUUUAUAGUUUUUAAUUUUGUUUUAUAUUCUAAGUUUUCAAUUAAGAUGUUAGGUAUUGACAAAAAAAAAGUUAUGUUUUCUUUUUUCAAUUUUAUAUUUGUGAUUUUUAGAUUUUGAUGAAGAUUUCACUAUGUCACCUGAAGAAAAUAAAGUGAACGAUGGUAGAGAGAACCAAAAGUAGUUGAUGUUAUUUGGUGUUAGUUUAUUUCUAUUAUUGAUAAUUUAUUACAAUGAUUUUUUUACUUUUGGUUUAUUUUGUAUUUGUAGUUUAAUUUAUUAUUCACAUUAUACAUUUAAAUAUUUAAAUAUUUAUAAAUUUUAUGUUUUGAUUUAUUUUAGAUGUCAUAGCUCUUAUCUUAUUCGAGAAAAUUUUAAAUAGUCUAAACUAUUUUUUUGAUAUUUUGUAUGUCAAAUGAAAAUAAAAAUAUAAAAACUAAAGUUAAGUAUUUUCUAAAUUUUAAACAUAAAAUAUAUACAUAUCCAAACUAUUAUUUUAUGUUUUAAAAAAUUUAGAAAAUAAUAAACUUUAGUUUUUAUAAUUUUAUUUACAUACCUGAGAUAUUAUUAUAUAAUAAAAUUAGUUAAUUUAUUAACCCGCGGUUCACCCGCGAUCGACCCAGUGACCCAGCAAACCGGUAAGCAGUCCGGUUCAGUGUCCGUGUCGGGUUUAAAAACAUUGGUUGUAGCAAUUGAAGUUUGUUUUAAACGUAGUUGUUGAUCGUAAUGAAUACACUAUGUUUUGAUAGGAUGAUACAUUAUGUUUUGAUAUGAAGACAUAAUUAAUUAAACGUAGGUGUUGUUUUUUAAAUAAAAGGAUUUUUGCUGUUAAAAUAAAAAGGAAUUCAAAAAAUACAGAAUUUAAUUAAAAUCAUAGCUUAAAAAUAUUCCAGUGGCAGUAUCUUGUAAAUAUUGUUGAAACAGGAGGGCACCUCAAAAAAGGGCCUUCUGUUUUAAUAGUAUUGAUUUGGAAUUUUGAACAUAUCAGCUUACUAAUAUAUGAGUGUAUGGGUUUGUUUAAUAUUUUUAAAGAUAGUGUAUGAUACCUUGUUCUCGUAGAUAGAAUAUUUGUUAGCAAUCUUAAUAUUUUACGUGACCGUUUAGCAAAUGAAAAAGGAUGAAAUAUAAGUUCCGGCACUUUGAAGGGAUUUUAGUAACCGUUUAAAAAAGUGCCCUAAUAAAUAUAACUAUUGACUAAUGAUUGUUAGAGAAGUAUAAAGUAACUUAUUGUUAGUCGAAAUUUAAAAUAAAAUCAAAAUAUUAUUAGUUAAUGAAAUGGUGCAACAACUUUGUUUAAGUAGAUUUUUCAGAAUGAUUAUCUCUUAAUAGUAUAGACACGAUAAAUAUUUGUAAGUUUAAACAUAAAAAUAUAUGAUAAGUAUUCACGUCUAUAUUGUUAUGAAUAAAAUAACAUAAUAGUUUGCUGAUUAAAUUUAUUGUAUUUACAUGAAACAUGAAAGUUCAAUAUAUAUAUACAUGAACUUACAAAUAUUUGACAUAUUGAUAUGAGACUUGCAAAAAAAGAAAUCCACGUUUUGAAAACGUGGAUAAAAAUCUAGCAUAUACUUAUAUUUAAAGUUUUGUAAACUACGACAGCUUUUCAAAAGCGAUAAGAAAUUUAUAUACAAAUAUAGUAUUAUUAUUAUUUUUUAAUAUUAAGAUAAAUAUAUAUUUGAUAUAUGAUACAAUUUCUUGGUUUCAUGUCUACCUACGUAAAUCGUUGCAAUAGCCAGAUAGAAAAAUUCUAUCAUAUCAGCAUCAAAGAAUGUGAAUUUCAGAAUUGGUGAAAGUAAUAAAUUUUUUGGAUGUAUGUGUUUAUUUACUCUAUUCUGACAUUUUGAUGCAUCCCAAUUUAUUGUCGAAAGAUUGACAUUGAGUCGGUGUUCAUGAACAAAUUAACGGUUUGAUAUUUUUUUGGAUAAUAUAGGGAUAUCCUGGUUCCACCUUAACAUGAGUCUAUACUAGUUACAUGUUUGCAACCUACGUUAUCAGCCCACGUGUCGGUCGCCUAUAUCUCUGGCGAUGCCGAAAUGUUAAUUUUCUAGUGGCCAACGGGAAUUGAAGCCGAAACCGUAUCGAAUCCGAAGGUCCCUCAAGAACAAAUUAACGGUUUGAUAUUUCACUGCUUGGUAUUUCGGUAAACUGGUCUAACAUUUCCGGGUCUACACUAAGUAGGUUAAGCAUUUCAAACAUGCAUCAAGAACUUGCUUUUAUGUCUAUGGGAUAUAGAACUGGUAUGUAGAAGAUCCAUCCCUAAUGAGACACACCAAACAAUAUAAUAGAUCAUUGUACUGUAUAAAAUUAUAUACUUUUGAUCUUCUGAUUCAAGGUAAAAGCAAAACGCUAUGGAACUUGUUUAGGUGUUCGUUCAAUAGAUGUAAUAAUAAUCAAGAUAAGAAAACAUAUGAUGAAACUUCUACAACUCUAGAUGUUGGUUAGAUAAAGAGACGAUGUCGACCAGAUUAGAAGACGAGAAUAUACAAAAUGAAAUUAUACCCAAGAACAUUGGUGAUAAAGUAAUACAAACCUAUGAAGAUACAAAAAUGGGAUAUGAGAAGAAGAAGAAGAGGCUACAUAUAAAUGGAGAACCGUAUGGAGGGAGAAGAAUGAGGAAAUAAAGAAAAUGGAAAAUGUCAUUUUUAGUUUCUUAUCAAAAUAAAUGCAGAAUAUAUGCCAACUAACCCCUUACGACCACCACUAGGUCUUGGCGUAAACAGAGAUGACCACCUGAGAGUCCAUCACCUCAUCAACAUGGAAACGAUCACAUGGAACUCAAAUUUGCUGGGAGAAUCCGUGGCAGUGGAAGACAUACCCCAUAUUGAAUAAAUUCGUUUGAGCAGAACUGGAAGACGAGAUUGUUACAGCUGGGAUUAUACAAAAUCUGGACUAUAUACGGUGAAGUCAGGCUACUCCGUAGCUCAUAACCUGCGUGCGGCAGCUAACCAGCCGACGAUCUCUGAACCUAGCACUACUGAGUUAAAGAAGGCAUCAUGGAAAAUCAAAGCCCCAAGGAAACUAAAGCACUUUAUUUGGCAAGCUAUAUCCGGAUUUGUGGCAACGGCGCAGAGUUUACGGGAUCGACAUUGUGCGAGAGAUAGUAUAUGUGUCCGCUACGGUGCGAAAUCUGAAACUAUAAACCACACGCUGUUCGAGUGCCCGUCUGCUCUGCAAUGCUGGGCGUUAUCACAAAUCCCAGCACCUCCGGGGUUAUUCCCGCGGUCAUCUCUAUUUGAAAACAUAUAUUAUCUACUAUGGAAGGCUAAGGAGAAAGGGGCAAGCGCCGAGAUGAUGUAUGCAUUCCCGUGGAUAUUUUGGUACAUAUGAAAAGCACGCAACGAAAAGGUGUUUAACAACAGAGACAUAACGCCAAUGGAUACACUCCAACUCGCCAAGAGCGAGGCUGAAAGUUGGAAACUCGCUCAGUUAGUCCCUGUGCUGGAGGAAGCUAGUAUGGAUAAUGAGCAGAGUGAAAUGGAGAUGCCAAGUCGAUGAUUUGUGGGUAAGUGCUCAAGAAGAUAUAGGCUUAGGUUUUGUGAUGAUGGACGAAAACGUAACGAUCCUAUACGGGGCUAAGAAUGGGAGUAUAACUGAAUCUCCUCUACACGCGGAGGCGGAAAGAUUAAUUUGGGCAAUGCAGGAAGCACUGAAGAAAGAACCUAAGAUAAUGCACUUUGAAACUGACUGUCAACAGCUCGUCAAGCUUGUCAAGAAUGUUGAAGAGGAAUGGCCGGCUAUGGCAACUGAACUGGAUGAAAUUAACGCUCUUGCAAGCAAUUUCAGCGCAUUCUCUAUAUCCUACAUAUCAAGGUCUAUAAACAUCCGCGCGGAUGGCCUAGCGAAGGGAGUCCGAUCACGCGAGCUCCGGAUACCGUAUGUGAACUAGUUUGUGCUCCAACAUGGUUAGCCCAUGUUGCUAGCCAAAUGGAUGCAAACUAAGUUUUAGUUUUCUGUUUCGAUGUCAAAAAAAAAGGUUCCAUUUUACUUUUAAAGAAAUAUUUGAAAUUUUAACUUUCUAAAGUGUAUCAUCUUUAUAGUGAAAAGUUAUGUAGCCGCAAAAGUGUAUCAUCUUAAAACCAGUACAACAAAU